GGAUUUCUUCCUGAUUGUAAUUACAAAUUUAAAAAGCUUUACAAAUGUAUAACAGUAUAAACUUUUCCUUACAUUUCACUCAAUUUUUGUAGAGAUUGAUCUUAUUUUAAGUUGUGUGGUUGCCUGUGUGGUUGUAGGCACAUGUGAGUGAAGUACCUGUGGAGGGCAGAAGAGGGCGUUGGAUUUCCUGGAACUGAAGAUCAGGUGGCCAUUGUGAGUGUCAGGAGAUGAGGUCAUGACCUCUGCUAGGUCAGGAGGCUCUCUUAACCAACCAACCAUCUCUCGGGUUCUUGGGCGUUUUGAUUGUCCAUACACACCACCUGGGAUUUAGCAUGAUGUUUGUAUUCCUUGGCAUUUCUAUAAAGAAGAUACUAGGUAUAUAAUCUUGAGACAGAUUCUUACCCUAUCUGCACUCCAGAUUCCUUGUUGAAAAUGCAGAGAUAAUCACGAAGAUCAGCAGAGUGAACACACAUGCGCACAGGGUUCUCAGCGUUAAGUUUUUAAAGAGCCUCAAGUAGACAAGAACAGCUUUG
rnacentral:lncRNA from 1 species